UAUUACGUUGAUGACAAUGGUCUGAGACUGUGUGGAAACAUGUUCUCCACUGGGUCUGGUAACACCUAUGCCUAUGGUGUGAUGGACAGCGGCUACCGUUAUGACUUGUCUGUUCCAGAAGCCUAUGAUUUGGCACAGAGGGCCAUAUUUCAUGCUACACACAGAGAUGCUUACUCUGGGGGAACAGUCAACAUGUAUCACAUGAGAGAGACUGGUUGGAUUAAAGUUUCUCAAGAGGAUGUUGGCGACCUGUACCACCGCUUUUCCAAUGAGAAGAAGUGAAUCUGGCCCAUUCUAACUAUAUUCACAGUCACAUCAAUACCAUACAAUACAUCAUGAACAUAGUCAAAUAAGUAUGUAAAAUAAUAAGGAUCAUGGAGCCAUGACCUUCUCUCAGGCAACAUAUGGCAGUCAAUGUCUUCAAUAAAAUACUUUUUUUUAGAGAACUGUCAUAGGAAUUUUUUAUUGUGGUUAUGUGUAUAAGACAAUUAUUUUCUUUCAAAUAUUGAAAUAAAUAAAAUCUUUCAAAUUGUCUUUCAAAUACAUGUUCACAUUUAGAAUACAUUUUCUUCUGGCACAGAACUUAAUAUAAUUUUUUAAAUAAUAAACUCUUUGGCACUUACAGAUAUUUGGAAAAAACAGGGCUGACAUGACAUUUUUGUUCCUCCAUAGGUCUAAUAACCUUUUCAUACUACUGAGCUGAACCAAACCGAGCUGAACUGUGCUGGCCUAGUUAUGCAUCUGGUUACGCAUCCAACAUAGAUGCUGGAACCGUUCUGAAAAGGACAAUGUGAAAAGAAAAUAUCUGAGCCUAUACAGUUCAUGUCGGCAUGAUAGUAUGAAAAGGGUACGUGACACAGGCAAAGCCAUACAUUUAUGAGAACUGAUGUUAUGGUUCUGAUAUAGUAUAUGUACCUAUUCUGUAAUCUACUAGCAUUGUAUGUUUAUCCAAGAUCCUGUGGCGUACACCAGUGUCCUGGUUUUCAUUGCAUAUUGGAAUCUGGCAUGAGCAAUAAGAAGAACAUGGACACUAGUUAAGCAGGAUGGACAGAUACUGGAGAUAAGGAAUCGGCUAUUAAUUAUUACAGUAAACUAAUAGAUCAGACAGAAGUGAGUAAAGACUCCCAAGACUCAGCUGCUGUUCAUGUCAGAUAAAGCCUCUCCUUUUUCUAA